AGCUUUGUGCAGUGGGAGUAUUACAUCCAAUGAGGUUAAACUAAGGUAUGAUUAUUGUUUAUUGAAAAUUUUCCCAAUACCCCACCAGGAUGAUUUGCAAUAUAGUUACCAUUGGCAAUUUUUGACAGUUUCUACAGACA
rnacentral:snRNA from 1 species